AGUCGAGCGAGCCUUCGAGUCUAGCGGCGGACGGGUUAGUAACGCGUGGGAAUAUACCCUUCACUAUGGAAUAGCCUCGGGAAACUGGGAGUAAUACCGUAUACGCCCUUUUGGGGAAAGAUUUAUCGGUGAAGGAUUAGCCCGCGUCUGAUUAGAUAGUUGGUGGGGUAAUGGCCUACCAAGUCUACGAUCAGUAGCUGGUUUGAGAGGAUGAUCAGCAACACUGGGACUGAGACACGGCCCAGACUCCUACGGGAGGCAGCAGUGGGGAAUCUUAGACAAUGGGCGCAAGCCUGAUCUAGCCAUGCCGCGUGAGUGACGAAGGCCUUAGGGUCGUAAAGCUCUUUCGCCAGAGAUGAUAAUGACAGUAUCUGGUAAAGAAACCCCGGCUAACUCCGUGCCAGCAGCCGCGGUAAUACGGAGGGGGUUAGCGUUGUUCGGAAUUACUGGGCGUAAAGCGCACGUAGGCGGAUUGGAAAGUAUGGGGUGAAAUCCCAGGGCUCAACCCUGGAACUGCCUUGUAAACUCCCAGUCUAGAGUUCGAGAGAGGUGAGUGGAAUUCCAAGUGUAGAGGUGAAAUUCGUAGAUAUUUGGAGGAACACCAGUGGCGAAGGCGGCUCACUGGCUCGAUACUGACGCUGAGGUGCGAAAGUGUGGGGAGCAAACAGGAUUAGAUACCCUGGUAGUCCACACCGUAAACGAUGAAUGCCAGACGUCAGGGGGCUUGCCCUUUGGUGUCACACCUAACGGAUUAAGCAUUCCGCCUGGGGAGUACCGUCCGCAGAUUAAAACUUCAAGGAAUUGACGGGGGCCCGCACAA
rnacentral:rRNA from 1 species